GAGAAGCAAGUGCUCUGUCCCCUGAGUUGUCGCCCCAGAUGGCAUCUUUCCAUCAAUCCAAAGCGUAAGAAGUUAUUAGAGCUCAUGAUGCUGUGACUUAAAGGUGCCGUGUCUCCACAUCUGGAUUUUAUUAUGACGGGACCUUGGAAAAUGAAGGUGUGGAUGUG